GCCAAAGCGAAGUGUGAGGUCCUUAGUGAGCUUUUAGGAUGCUAGUACGAACUUGCCUUGCUUCUAAUUUUAUGUUAAAAUCUGCACUUAAGACAACAAGGAUCUCUUCUUGUUGUAGUUUGUACAUAACUCGUGGUUACCUUG